rnacentral:rRNA from 1 species
UACGGAAGGCAGCAGUGGGGAAUAUUGCACAAUGGGCGAAAGCCUGAUGCAGCUAUGCCGCGUGUAUGAAGAAGGCCUUAGGGUUGUAAAGUACUUUCAUCGGGGAGGAAAAAACAAAACUAAUAAUUUUAUUUCUUGACGUUACCCGAAAAAGAAGCACCGGCUAAUUCCGUGCCAGCAGCCGCGGUAAUACGGAGGGUGCUAGCGUUAAUCAGAAUUACUGGGCGUAAAGAGCACGUAGGUGGUUUUUUUAAAGUCAGAUGUGAAAUCCCUGGGCUUAACCUAGGAACUGCAUUUUGAAACUGAAAUACUAGAGUAUCGUAGAGGGAGGUAGAAUUCUAGGUGUAGCGGUGAAAUGCGUAGAUAUCUGGAGGAAUACCUGUGGCGAAAGCGGCCUCCUAAACGAAUACUGACACUGAGGGUGCGAAAGCGUGGGGAGCAAACAGGGAUUAGAUACC